GAUGAAGACGUAGCGAAAUGCGAUAAGUAAUGUGAAUUGCAGAAUUCAGUGAAUCAUCGAAUCUUUGAACGCACAUUGCGCCCCCUGGUAUUCCGGGGGGCAUGCCUGUCCGAGCGUCAUUACAACCCUCAAGCUCAGCUUGGUGUUGGGCCCCGCCGCCCCGGCGGGCCCUAAAGUCAGUGGCGGUGCCGUCCGGCUCCGAGCGUAGUAAUUCUUCUCGCUCUGGAGGUCCGGUCGUGUGCUUGCCAGCAACCCCCAAUUUUUUUCAGGUUGACCUCGGAUCAGGUAGGGAUACCCGCUGAACUUAAGCAUAUCAAUAAGCGGAGGA
rnacentral:misc_RNA from 1 species